ensembl:snRNA U6 U6 spliceosomal RNA
GUGUUCACUUAGGUAGCACAUAUACUAUAGUUGGAACAGUACAGAGAUUAGCAUGGCCCCAGUGCAAGCAAGGAUGACACAUAAAUUCGUGAAGCGCACUCCAAGACA